GGGAAUUUCCGCGCUCAAAUUUUAGUCAUCCCAGCAAAUCUUUUCACAACCCUAACCUAAAACCCUUUCAGCUUUAAUUUGCUUGACCUUCUUUAACCCGCCGUUGCGUCUCCUCACAAGAGUUAGAAUUUUUUUGUCUAUCUUGGUACAAUUAUCGGCAAGUGAACUUAUGGUGGUUGUUAUGAGUCUUAUAUCAAAUCUCAGAAUCGUAAAAUGAUUUUUCUCACUCAUAUUAUUAUGUGCAAAGAAACUCAGUGAAGGUAUCUCAAGAUUAGAGACUCCGCGAGCAGGGGCUUACUAGUUGAAUGGAACAGAAGAAAAGUAAACGAGAAAAACGUGAGAGUUUCAGUAGUACAUAGCAUGGUAAGCUAAAGGAAUUAUCAUAUUUAUAGUUUGUAAAUAUACUUACUCAUUUGGUAAUUUGUAUUCUGAGACUCUUUAGAUCCUACUAAGUAUUAUAGAAUUUGUUGUGCUAUGACUUGAUAUUAACACAGUAAAGUGAUAUUUUGACCUCUUAUUAAAAUAGAACUUAAUUUACAGUGCUAGAAUAUAAAGGUUGAGUUAGUAUAUAGAAGUUAUUAUUCUGAAGUUUUAUUUAUCUGUUUAUAUUACUUGACCUGUA